GCAUUGGUGGUUCAGUGGAAGAAUUCUUGCCUGCCACACGGUAAGCCUGGGUUUGAUUUCGGCCAAUGCA
rnacentral:tRNA from 1 species